rnacentral:lncRNA from 1 species
AACUUCAUACCAUGCAUUCACUACCAUGCCGUAUUAAUAAAAUCACUAAAAAUGACAAUAAGUAGGUAAAAAAACGCUUUGGGCUCGUCUGGGAAUUGAACCCGGGACCUCUCGCACCCGAAGCGAGAAUCAUACCGCUAGACCAACGAGCCGGACAACAAAGACCGCCGUAUAUAAUAUAGAUAUCGACAAAAACUUGACGGCAGCCCCUGCUCAAUCUAUUCCCAAUGUAUUGAUAGUCAUUGUUCGGCAAAGCAAGGGCCUUGGCCCCAACACCAUCACAUAAGUAAGUGGCGAUGGGGAAAGAGGCGACAAGGACAGGUGGACGAUGCUACAGGUGGACGAUGCGCCCUUUUCAAGCCUAGCCAGGCUCAUGGGCCCGGUUUCCCGGUUUCUGUGACGUAUGUGUUCCCCCCAGCUGGACUCAAGAAACAGGAAGAAAGAGUGAGAGAAAGUUGCGGCGAAAGAGUACAACAGGGGUCGCCACCACCCGCUGCCGGAGCAUCGUGGAGCUUUAGGUGUUUUCGCUCAAUAAACACACACAACGCCCGGUCUGGGAAUCGAAACCGUGAUCCUCCAACCGCGAGUCCACUGCCUUAACCACUGGACCAUUGCGCUUCCACAAGGAUGCUUCUAGACAUCUUUGAUUUUGACCUUGCACAUAAGCGGCCAUAAGAUGAUGGUCGUUUCUCGCAGGCCUCAACUAUGUCCUUGUGACCCCUUAUUCGUCGAAGCGACGAGAGAAUCGAUUUGGAGAAAAAAUAAAUGAUUGAUUAUAUCAACCCUCGUACUUAAUUCGCUGGUGCUGUUAUUUUUAUCAGCCCCACCAGCAGGAUUAAAAGCAAACUUGACAAACGCGGGAUAUUAGACUCGGAAUGUGGAGGCGCAAUGGCCCAGUGGUUAGGGCAGCAGACUCGCGGUCGUAGGAUCGCGGUUUCGAUUCCCAGACCGGGCGUUGUGAGUGUUUAUUGAGCGAAAAUACCUAAAGCUCCACGAGGCUCCGGCAGGAGAUGGUGGUGAUCCCUGCUGUACUCUUUCGCCACAACUUUCUCUCACUCUUACUUCUUGUUUCUGUUGUACCUGUAUUUCAAAAGGGCCGGCCUUGUCACUCUCUGUGUCACGCUGAAUAUCUCCGAGAACUACGUUAAGGGUACACGUGUCUGUGGAGUGCUCAGCCACUUACACGUUAAUUUCACGAGCAAGCUGUUCCGUUGAUUCGGAUCAACCGGAACCCUCGUCGUCGUAACCGACGGAGUGCUUCCAUCCAUUAGACUUGGAAUGCAAAGAAUCUUAUAAUUAAACACCACACACGAAAAGUUUAAAAGAAAACGGAAGUAAUCAAUCCGGUGAUGAACCAAUUCUGCCAGCUUCCUUUCUUGAUAAUCUACGUUUCAUCAAAGGCAACACAUUAAAACGUAAUGAAGGUCGAAUAAAUCUUAUCUACUCGAAUGAUUUCCGAGUAAACAAAAUGGCUGAGGAGAGAUGCGCUUUUUUUGUGGCAACGAUGAAGAAUAAGCAAAACUGAAGAAAAAUACCGAAGAGGAAGUUGGAGGCAAGAAAACAGCAAUAAAUAAUAUUGAUUGCAACUAACAAUAUAUAUAUAUAUAUAUAUAUAUAUAUAUAUAUAUAUAUAUAUAUAUAUAUAUAUAUAUAUAUAUAUAUAUAUAUAUAUAUAUAUAUAUAUAUAUAUAUAUAUAUAUAUAUAUAUAUAUAGAGAGAGAGAGAGAGAGAGAGAGAGACAGACAGACAGACAGACAGACAGAUAGAUAGAUAGAUAGAUAGAUAGAUAGAUAGAUAGAUAGAUGGAUAGAUAGAUGGAUAGACAAAUUCCUCUAUUUACAUAAUACCGAGGUCUCAUUCAUUCUUUUGUUGAUCACGUGGUAUCAUUUCGAUACCUUCACGCUUUUGCUUCUUCUUUUGAUAUUAAUGAGUUUUCUUGGGAGGUGCUUACAAAAACAGAAGCGGAUGCUCUCGUUUUCGUUUCUUUUCUUUUUCUUUUUUUACCUUUUUCUUUAAAGCAUACGUCAUCUGGGUGAAAGUGAAAGGGGGCGGGGUGGGGGGACGAAAAAUGAGGUUAAAAAACAAAACUAGAAAGGAAACUGCGACCUUGGGAGUAAUGUUCCGUGUGUAUAAAUAAAAUGAAUAAAUAAAAUAAAGAAAUAAGCAAAUAAAUAAAAUAAAUAAAUAAAUAAAUAAAUAAAAUAAGAAAUAAAUAAAUAAAAUAUAAUAAAUAAAUAAAAUAAUUAAAAAUAGGCGCAGGAGUGGCUGUGUGGUAAGUAGCUUGUUUACCAACCACAUGGUUCCGGGUUCAGUCCCACUGCGUGGCACCUUGGGCAAGUGUCUUCUGCUAUAGCCCCGGGCCGACCAAUGCCUUGUGAGUGGAUUUGGCAGACGGAAACUGAAAGAAGCCUGUCGUAUAUAUAUAUAUAUAUAUAUAUAUAUAUAUAUAUAUAUAUAUAUAUAAGUGUGUGCGUAUAUGUUUGUGUCUGUGUUUGUCCCCCUAGCAUUGCUUGACAACCGAUGCUGGUGUGUUUACGUCCCCGUUACUUAGUGGUUCGGCAAAAGAGACCGAUAGAAUAAGUACUGGGCUUACAAAGAAUAAGUCCCGGGGUCGAUUUGCUCGACUAAAGGCGGUGCUCCAGCAUGGCCGCAGUCAAAUGACUGAAACAAGUAAGAGAGAGAGAAAAAAGAGAGAGAGUUAGUAAGAUUUGUAAAAAUGAAUUGGUAAAAAACAUUAUGCAGUCAUGGCUGUAUGGUAAGAAGCUUGCUUCCCAACCACAUGGUUCUGGGUUCAGUCUCACGACGCGGCACCUUGGGCAAGUGUCUUCUAGCCUCGGGUCGACCAAAGCCCUGUGAGUGGAUUUGGUGGAUGGAAACUGAAAGAAGCCCGUCGUAUAUAAAUAAUAUAGGACAAUCGGUAAGUUAUCGUAAUAAUACUCAGAGUUUCAAAUACCAGAGAAGCUCUCAGCUCUGGCAUUUGAAACUCUGAGUAUUACUAUAACAACUUACUGUUUGUAAUAUAUUUCAUAUACAUAUAUAUAUAUAUGUGUGUGUAUGUUUGUGUGUGUGUGUAUGUAUGUAUGUAUGUAUGUAUGUAUGUAUGUAUGUAUGUAUGUAUAUAUGUGUGCGUAUGUAUAUCUAUAUAUAGAGAGAGAGACAGAUAGAUAGAUAGAUAGAUAGAUAGAUAGAUAGAUAGAUAGAUAGAAAGAAAGAUAGAUAGAUAAAUAGAUAAAUUCCUCUAUUUACAUAAUAUCGAGGUCUCAUUCAUUCUUUUGUUGUCAUAUUAUAUAUAUAUAUAUAUAUAUAUAUAUAUAUAUAUACGAUUAGAGGUUGUGUUAACCUCAUGAAGGGAUGGUUUCAUCCAACGAAAUACUGGUACAAUACCUAAUAUUUGGGGGCAAUUGAUUUCUUUAAAAUAAUAGGUAUAUAUAUACAUACAUACGUACACAUAUAUAUAUAUAUAUAUAUAUAUAUAUAUAUAUAUAUAUAUAUAUAUAUAUAUAUAAUAUUUGAGUAGAAAAAUGAAAUAUCUUUUUAUGGAUAAUUCGUUUAACCGAUACCUGGGUAGCAAAUUCACAUCAGAAAUAACACGGUUGAAGUUACGUGCCUAGGGCAGAGACUACGUGUUUUCGUGUGGAAAUUUGUGUGUAUUUUUAUAAAAUUUAUGAAUAAAUGAAAGAAUGGAGUUGAACGACAAAUUAACAAAUUUCCUUUAUUUUCGACAUAUGUUUCGAAGGCUGCAUAUUCCUAAUUGUGAAGGAAUAAGGGGUACAUUAUGCCGCUUUCUCAUCAGGAAAAACAAGGAAUUUAUGUCAACAUCAAGAUUCACAAAAACUUUUAGAUGACUGCUCUCACGGAGCGCAUAUAUAAAUUAAUUGUUUAUUAUCAACAGUAAAUUAAUCGCCAUCUUUUACAUCUGUAAAGGAUGGCGAUUAAUUUGUUGUUAAUAAUAGUUAAUUAACUUCCAAAUCUCCAUUUUCUUUCUCUUGUUUUAUGUGUGUGUUGUGUGUGUAUGUGUUUGUCCCUCGGCCAUCGCUUGACAACGGGUUCGGCAAAAAUAGGCCGAUAGAAUAAGUACCAUGCUUACGAAGAAUAAGUCCGUCACAGCGGUGCUCCAGCAUAGCCACAGUCAAAUGACUGAAACAAUUAAAGAACAAAAGAAUACAUCCGGGUUCAGUCCCACUGCAUGGCACCUUGGGCAAGUGUCUUCUGCUAUAGCCUCAGGCCGACCAAUGCCUUGUGAGUAGAUUUGGUAGACGGAAACUGAAAGAAGCCCGUCGUAUAUAUGUAUAUAUAUUUGUGUAUAUGUGUGUGUGUGUGUGUGUUCGUGUGUCUGUGUUUGUCCCCCUCGCAUUGCUUGACAACCGAUGCUGGUGUGUUUAUGUCCCCGUCACUUAGCGGUUCGGCAAAAGAGACCGAUAGAAUAAGUACUGGGCUUCCAAAAGAAUAAGUCCCGGGGUCGAGUUGCUCGACUAAAGGCGGUGCUCCAGCAUAGCCGCAGUCAAAUGACUGAAACAAUUAAACGAACAGAAGAACACAAGAAUACAUCAUGUGUGUACCUUCUUCCCGGCUGCCAAACAUAACAAUUAAAAAGAUUUAUGUGAAAAUCUUAAUUACUUAAUUUACAUCUUUUGAUGUUAUGUAACGAAUGCUUUGCAUGCUGGGAAUUCCUAAGGGGAACGCCAUUUUAAUUUUUUUUGUGUGUCUGUAAUGGAACGAAGGGUGGUGCGGAUGGUUGUGGUGGUGGAGAUGGUUGUGAAGCGGGAAGUGGUAACAUCGUUAGAGCGGAAGCUAGCAAUGCCUUGAAAUAAUUCGUUUCGGCUCACUGCGUUUUGAGUUCAAAUUCGGGCGGCGACCGAUUCUCUCUUUUACUUGUUUCAGUCAUUUGGCUGCGGCCAUGCUGGAGCACCGCCUUUAGUCGAGCAACUCGACCCCGCGACUUAUUCUUUUUGUAAGCCCAGUACUUAUUCUGUCGGUUUCUUUUUGCCGAACCGCUAAGU